AGAGUUUGAUCCUGGCUCAGGACGAACGCUGGCGGCGCGCCUAACACAUGCAAGUCGAACGAGCGAGAGAGAGCUUGCUUUCUCGAGCGAGUGGCGAACGGGUGAGUAACGCGUGAGGAACCUGCCUCAAAGAGGGGGACAACAGUUGGAAACGACUGCUAAUACCGCAUAAGCCCACGGGUCGGCAUCGACCAGAGGGAAAAGGAGCAAUCCGCUUUGAGAUGGCCUCGCGUCCGAUUAGCUAGUUGGUGAGGUAACGGCCCACCAAGGCGGCGAUCGGUAGCCGGACUGAGAGGUUGAACGGCCACAUUGGGACUGAGACACGGCCCAGACUCCUACGGGAGGCAGCAGUGGGGAAUAUUGCACAAUGGGGGAAACCCUGAUGCAGCGACGCCGCGUGGAGGAAGAAGGUCUUCGGAUUGUAAACUCCUGUUGUUGAGGAAGAUAAUGACGGUACUCAACAAGGAAGUGACGGCUAACUACGUGCCAGCAGCCGCGGUAAAACGUAGGUCACAAGCGUUGUCCGGAAUUACUGGGUGUAAAGGGAGCGCAGGCGGGAAGACAAGUUGGAAGUGAAAUCCAUGGGCUUAACCCAUGAACUGCUUUCAAAACUGUUUUUCUUGAGUAGUGCAGAGGUAGGCGGAAUUCCCGGUGUAGCGGUGGAAUGCGUAGAUAUCGGGAGGAACACCAGUGGCGAAGGCGGCCUACUGGGCACCAACUGACGCUGAGGCUCGAAAGUGUGGGUAGCAAACAGGAUUAGAUACCCUGGUAGUCCGCACGGUAAACGAUGGAUGCCCGCUGUUGGUCUGAACAGGUCAGCGGCCAAGCGAAAGCAUUAAGCAUCCCACCUGGGGAGUACGCCGGCAACGGUGAAACUCAAAGGAAUUGACGGGGGCCCGCACAAGCGGAGGAACAUGUGGUUUAAUUCGAUGAUACGCGAGGAACCUUACCCGGGCUUGAAUUGCAGAGGAAGGAUUUGGAGACAAUGACGCCCUUCGGGGUCUCUGUGAAGGUGCUGCAUGGUUGUCGUCAGCUCGUGCCGUGAGGUGUCGGCUUAAGUGCCAUAACGAGCGCAACCCCUCUCCUUAGUUGCCAUCAGGUUAAGCUGGGCACUCUGGGGACACUGCCACCGUAAGGUGUGAGGAAGGUGGGGAUGACGUCAAAUCAGCACGGCCCUUACGUCCGGGGCUACACACGUGUUACAAUGGCAGGCACAGAGAGACGGUUGUACGUAAGUACGAUCAAAUCCUUAAAGCCUGUCUCAGUUCGGACUGGGGUCUGCAACCCGACCCCGCGAAGCUGGAUUCGCUAGUAAUCGCGCAUCAGCCAUGGCGCGGUGAAUACGUUCCCGGGCCUUGUACACACCGCCCGUCAAGCCAUGAAAGCCGGGGGCGCCUAAAGUCCGUGACCGUAAGGAGCGGCCUAGGGCGAAACUGGUAAUUGGGGCUAAGUCGUAACAAGGUA
rnacentral:rRNA from 1 species